CGUACCACGUUACUUGGAACUGUGGUAAUUCUAGAGCUAAUACAUGCCGACAGAGUUCCGACCAACUGUACGGAUUUGGCGGCAGUUUCGGCUGUCGUCGCCGUACGGUUCGGAAGGAACGCUUUUAUUAGAUCAAAACCGGCUAAACGGCGGUUUCGCUUUCGGGCGUCUCCGUCGUAAGCGGCCCGCGCAAAGAUUUGGUGACUCUGAAUAACUUCGAGCUGAUCGCACGGUCUUUGUACCGGCGACGUAUCUUUCAAAUGUCUGCCUUAUCAACUGUCGACGGUAGGUUCGACGCCUACCGUGGUGGUAACGGGUAACGGGGAAUCAGGGUUCGAUUCCGGAGAGGGAGCCUGAGAAACGGCUACCACAUCCAAGGAAGGCAGCAGGCGCGCAAAUUACCCACUCCCAGCUCGGGGAGGUAGUGACGAAAAAUAACGAUACGGGACUCAUUCGAGGCCCCGUAAUC
rnacentral:rRNA from 1 species